AGGUCCUCAAUAAGUAUUUGUUGAAAAAAUAAAUGAACCAACAAGUCUUAUUUGAGCACCUGUUAUG
rfam:Otolemur garnettii contig176721, whole genome shotgun sequence.